AGGCAUAAGCCACCAUGCCUGGCCAGGAAUUCUUGCUUUUUAGGGUUUCGCUUAAGUUUUAGGUUAUAAGGAUAAGAAUUCUAGUUAACACAUAAUUCAGUAGGCAAAAUGUGCUGGAAAAGAUUAUGUUAGUAGUGAGAAAAAGAAUAACUUUGUAUAAUUCAGAAGUUAUCAAAUUCUAACUAACUUUUUGGAUUUUAGGCUUCUAGACAGUUUAAGCAUGUUGAAUAUACUUUCAUAAAUAGAAUUUGAGUUCUAUUUCUCUCUCUGCCUAAUUUCUUCAAAAUUUGUAAACUAUUUGUGAAUAUUCUUAAUUCAUGGCAAUAUGUUUGUCUGCAUACAGUUGAGCAGGGUCCCUAGGGCCACUCAGGGAGAAAGAACCCAGAAACCAGACAUGCUUGCAAAAGAAUAUUUCUUACCAGUUAGUCUCUGGUCUCUUUCGCUCUGUGCAAACUGGUUAAAUGAAAGGUAAAAGUCACCAUUUGUCCCUUCUGUAAAGUUUUAAAUUGGUUUAAUAAUAAUAUAAGAGCUUAAAUCAAAUAUUUUGUCAGAAAAGUGAAAAAUGUAAUGCUUUUUAUUUAGUUCAUGUGACUUGAGUAAUCUUUAGGAAAUAAACAGUUUUAAAGAUUAUUGGUAAAAUACAGUUGUCUUGAAAAUGUAAACAUGUGGUCUAAGUUAUGUUCAAAUAUUAGGUUUGCUAAAUGCUUUAAGGUCAUAAACUGCUUCUUUGGUGUUUGAAAUUUGUUUAACUUGCCUGCUUUCCAGCUAGGUAAGGCCUGAGGACAGCCCACUCGGGAUGGCCCUGGGGGCUUCUGAGAUGAAAGAGGCCUUCUUGGGAGGCUCCCAGCAUUCCCUGUGCUCUUGCCUCUUCUCCCCUCUGCCUGCCUGAAGAUCCCCCUGAGUCCCUGCCACCCCCUCUCCAUGGGGAGUUGGCCAUGCCCCUAACUAUGCUGGAAACAUUCUAAUCUUAUCAGAACACAACUUAGCAGGUUUUACAUUACAAUUAAGAUUGCUAGGAGUCACCAUUAACAUGUAAUUAAGAUUACUAGAAACAGUUUUAUAUGCAAGAUGUGUAAGAAUAGUAAAAUGUGUUUUUUUUUUUUUUUUGGUAAAAGGUUAUAAAGGGUUUUUGCUUAAAAUUUCUGAGUCAUCAUUUUGGCAAAAUAAGUAAUUUAGGGCAAUCUGGAAUUCCAAAAUCAAACUUCAGUUUCAAAAUUGUCUUUUCUAAUGCCUGGCUUUUUGGAUGGAUCAGAUGGCCCCUGAAAACAUCCAGAAAAGAGGUAAAAAAAGCUUUCAAUUGUUUGGAUCUUCUGAGAACAUCAGAAGAUCUUGCCAUCUGCACUACAACAAAACUUUGGGACCUUGAACUUUGGGUACAUAAUCUCACAACUGAGAAAGUUCCCUCCACACUCUUGGAAUUGUACACUCAUUGGAGCCCUUAAGCUGGCACUUAUGACCUACGGAAAAAUACAUUAAAUGAAGAUUAUGGAAAUUCAGUGAAGGAGAUGAGACUGCUAAGUUAAAGACCAUCUAGCUUCAGAUGAUCAUGCAACAAAGGCUCCAGCCAAUUCCAGGUAAAGACACCACCCCUGGCCAUCAAGGAGAUACCCUGCCUCCACUAGAGAGAGCAGAGUGAGAGUUCUGUGAUCCUCAAUAGGUAGAAACUACACCCCAAGCCAGCAUGAAGCAGCUACAGAAGAAAGACCAGCUGUCCCUCUGCCUCCCAUAAAGAUUUAUGAAGAUCACAUCUCUCAGUGGGGAAAUGAGUCAAGAAAAUAAUGUCUGGAGGCAGGGAACAUAAGGCCAAUUAACACUUCAGCUAUGACAGGAAAUAUCCUUUCCAUAGGGUGUACACUAAGUGACUUCGUAACCUUACUUUGUCCUCUUCAUUUACAUAGGGCAUACAGCAAGUAACCAAUGGAAACUGCUAGAGUGUAUUUAAACUCCCACAAAUUCUGUAAUGGGGCCCUAUGCUCAUGCCCAUUACCACACUGUGAAGUGUACUUUCAUUUCGAAUAAAUAUCUCCUUUUGCUACUUUAUUCUUUCCUUGCAUUUUUUUCUGCAUUUUGUCCAAUUCUUUGUUCAAGAAGCCAAGAACCUGGACACCCUCUUUCGGUAACACAAUCAACUCCUAAGUACCAACCUCCUAAUAUCAUCAUCUUGGAGGUUAAAAUGUGGUAUAUACAUUUUGUGAGAAUGUAAAGAUUUCUUUAUCCAGUCUGGUGUUGACAGGCAUUUAAUUUGAUUCCAUGACUAUGCUAUUGUGAACAGUGUUACAAUGAACAUAUGCAUGCACGUGUCUUUAUGAUAGAAUGAUUUAUAUUCUUUGA
rnacentral:lncRNA from 1 species